UACGUAGGGGGCAAGCGUUGUCCGGAUUUAUUGGGCGUAAAGAGCGUGUAGGCGGCCAUACAGGUCCGUUGUGAAAACUCGAGGCUCAACCUCGAGACGUCGAUGGAAACCGUAUGGCUAGAGUCCGGAAGAGGAGAGUGGAAUUCCUGGUGUAGCGGGUGAAAUGCGCAGAUAUCAGGAAGAACACCCGUGGCGAAGGCGGCUCUCUGGGACGGUACUGACGCUGAGACGCGAAAGCGUGGGGAGCGAACAGG
rnacentral:rRNA from 1 species